AGCGAACGCUGGCGGCAGGCCUAACACAUGCAAGUCGAACGAUCCUUCGGGAUAGUGGCGGACGGGUGAGUAACACGUGGGAACGUGCCCUUUGGUUCGGAAUAACUCAGGGAAACUUGAGCUAAUACCGGAUGAGCCCUUCGGGGGAAAGAUUUAUCGCCAUUGGAGCGGCCCGCGUUGGAUUAGCUAGUUGGUGGGGUAAAGGCCCACCAAGGCUACGAUCCAUAGCUGGUCUGAGAGGAUGAUCAGCCACACUGGGACUGAGACACGGCCCAGACUCCUACGGGAGGCAGCAGUGGGGAAUCUUGCGCAAUGGGCGAAAGCCUGACGCAGCCAUGCCGCGUGAAUGAUGAAGGUCUUAGGAUUGUAAAAUUCUUUCACCGGGGACGAUAAUGACGGUACCCGGAGAAGAAGCCCCGGCUAACUUCGUGCCAGCCGCCGCGGUAAGAC
rnacentral:rRNA from 1 species